GUGACUCUCGCACUGGCACCUGAACCCGUCACUAUGAGGGGCCGUACAAGACAUAAUUCAUUCUGGGCUGCUCACACAAACACAUUCUCCUUUCACAUACAUAUAUUUUCACCCUCACGCACAUACAUUCUCCUUUCACACACAUAUAUUUUUUUACAUUUUUCAUGUAAAGGAAAAAAAAAAAAACACAAUUUUUUCUCUGGCGUGUGACGGCCUUACCAGCCUUGUGUAGAAGCUGAGAGCGAAUCACUGCAACGUCUCCGUUGUUGGCUGAAUAGCCCCCUGCCUCAGAGGACAGAGGAGCUGAGUGGAUUCACUUCAUUUUAAAUGGAAAUAACCCCACAACUGGAAAACUGUGACAUGUGUGAAAACUACCGCAGACUGCUUUCCUGUGCCAGUACAAAGAAGGUUUAAUGAAGAUCAAGGAUCGAUUGAUGCUCACUUCAAACUUGGAAGCUGCCAACAUACCGCUACAAGACCGACCCUGCAGACACAACCACAUCUUUGACAGAGUUGACAAACAUGUUGCUCAGUGGCAGUCAGUCCUGUCUCUCGGACAGUCUUAAGUGAUGUGGAGAUGCUCAGCCAUCACUACUGAGGCCUUCAACAGUGUAAUCCUGUCAUUCUGCAUAAAAGCAUGAUCAUCAGAGUGACCUGAUGACGCUGUGUUUCAGGUUUUUUUGGACCCCGUCUCUUCUUGCAGUAUGAGAAACCAUCAGAGGAGGAAGAUAUUGUUGGGCGGGUUUUGCUUCUGUCAAGCAAACGCUGUCAAGACAACGGCCAGCAGCAUCAGGAAGUAUCAGUGUCCACAGAAGAGGCAUCAGGAUGACAUGUGUGACCUGAGAGCUCCAUUAUCAGCUGACAUACUUCAGUAUAAAAGAAACUUGAUUUCAGGACCUCAUCUGGACAGUUUACAUAAAAUUAAAGUGUUUCCUCCUUUUAUCUAUACCUAAUUUAUCCUCAUUGGCAUUGAAUAAAGUGAUUUGUUUUUAAUGAA